rnacentral:rRNA from 1 species
AACGAACGCUGGCGGCAUGCCUAACACAUGCAAGUCGAACGAGACCUUCGGGUCUAGUGGCGCACGGGUGCGUAACGCGUGGUAACCUGCCCUUAGGUUCGGAAUAACUCCCCGAAAGGGGUGCUAAUACCGGAUAAUGUCUUCGGACCAAAGAUUUAUCGCCUUUGGAUGGGCCCGCGUUGGAUUAGCUAGUUGGUAGGGUAAAAGCCUACCAAGGCGAAGAUCCAUAGCUGGUCUGAGAGGAUGAUCAGCCACACUGGGACUGAGACACGGCCCAGACUCCUACGGGAGGCAGCAGUGGGGAAUAUUGGACAAUGGGCGAAAGCCUGAUCCAGCAAUGCCGCGUGAGUGAUGAAGGCCUUAGGGUUGUAAAGCUCUUUUACCCGGGAUGAUAAUGACAGUACCGGGAGAAUAAGCUCCGGCUAACUCCGU